rnacentral:rRNA from 1 species
AUCCAGAGAACUUAGCAGAGAUGCUUUGGUGCCUUCGGGAACUCUGAGACAGGUGCUGCAUGGCUGUCGUCAGCUCGUGUUGUGAAAUGUUGGGUUAAGUCCCGNAACGAGCGCAACCCUUAUCCUUUGUUGCCAGCGGUUCGGCCGGGAACUCAAAGGAGACUGCCGGUGAUAAACCGGAGGAAGGUGGGGAUGACGUCAAGUCAUCAUGGCCCUUACGGCCAGGGCUACACACGUGCUACAAUGGCGCAUACAAAGAGAAGCGACCUCGCGAGAGCAAGCGGACCUCAUAAAGUGCGUCGUAGUCCGGAUUGGAGUCUGCAACUCGACUCCAUGAAGUCGGAAUCGCUAGUAAUCGUAGAUCAGAAUGCUACGGUGAAUACGUUCCCGGGCCUUGUACACACCGCCCGUCACACCAUGGGAGUGGGUUGCAAAAGAAGUAGGUAGCUUAACCUUCGGGAGGGCGCUUACCACUUUGUGAUUCAUGACUGGGGUGAAGUCGUAACAAGGUAGGCGUAGCGAG